rnacentral:rRNA from 1 species
UGGGGAAUAUUGUACAAUGGGCGGAAGCCUGAUCCAGCCAUGCCGCGUGUGUGAAGAAGGCCUUUUGGUUGUAAAGCACUUUAAGCGAGGAGGAGGCUACUUGGAUUAAUACUCUAGGAUAGUGGACGUUACUCGCAGAAUAAGCACCGGCUAACUCUGUGCCAGCAGCCGCGGUAAUACAGAGGGUGCGAGCGUUAAUCGGAUUUACUGGGCGUAAAGCGUGCGUAGGCGGCUUCUUAAGUCGGAUGUGAAAUCCCUGAGCUUAACUUAGGAAUUGCAUUCGAUACUGGGAAGCUAGAGUAUGGGAGAGGAUGGUAGAAUUCCAGGUGUAGCGGUGAAAUGCGUAGAGAUCUGGAGGAAUACCGAUGGCGAAGGCAGCCAUCUGGCCUAAUACUGACGCUGAGGUACGAAAGCAUGGGGAGCAAACAGG